CCUACGGGGGGCAGCAGUAGGGAAUCUUCCACAAUGGGCGAAAGCCUGAUGGAGCAACGCCGCGUGGGUGAAGAAGGUCUUCGGAUCGUAAAACCCUGUUGUUAGAGAAGAAAGUGCGGGAGAGUAACUGUUCACGUUUCGACGGUAUCUAACCAGAAAGCCACGGCUAACUACUUGCCAGCAGCCGCGGUAAUACGUAGGGGGUAAGCGUUAUCCGGGUUUGUUGGGCGUAAAGGGAGCGCAGGCGGUCUUUUAAGUCUGAUGUGAAAGCAUUCGGCUUAACCGGAGUAGUGCAUUGGAAACUGGGAGACUUGAGUGCAGGAGAGGAGAGUGGAACUCCAUGUGUAGCGGUGAAAUGCGGAGAUAUAAGGAAGAACACCAGUGGCGAAAGCGGCUUUCUGGUCUGUAACUGACGCUGAGGUUCGAAAGCGUGGGUAGCAAACAGGAUUAGAUACCCGUGUAGUC
rnacentral:rRNA from 1 species